rnacentral:rRNA from 1 species
CCUACGGGAGACUGCAGUGAGGAAUAUUGGUCAAUGGACGAGAGUCUGAACCAGCCAAGUAGCGUGAAGGAUGACUGCCCUAUGGGUUGUAAACUUCUUUUAUAUGGGAAUAAAACGUUCCACGUGUGGGAUUUUGUAUGUACCAUAUGAAUAAGGAUCGGCUAACUCCGUGCCAGCAGCCGCGGUAAUACGGAUGAUCCGAGCGUUAUCCGGAUUUAUUGGGUUUAAAGGGAGCGUAGGUGGAUUGUUAAGUCAGUUGUGAAAGUUUGCGGCUCAACCGUAAAAUUGCAGUUGAAACUGGCAGUCUUGAGUACAGUAGAGGUGGGCGGAAUUCGUGGUGUAGCGGUGAAAUGCUUAGAUAUCACGAAGAACUCCGAUUGCGAAGGCAGUUCACUGGACUGCAACUGACACUGAGGCUCGAAAGUGUGGGUAUCAAACAGGAUUAGAUACCCCAGUAGUC